rnacentral:rRNA from 1 species
GAUUUCUGGGCUCAAGAAUUUGGCCGGCCACGGUUUCGUGUGUUAGUGCUUGAGAUCUUCGCCAUCCUUCCAAUGGCUAUUCAUCCUUCUUCAUUGAAGGUGUGAGUGGUAUUGGAUCUUUUACUUUGAAAAAAUUAGAGUGUUUCAAGCAGGCUUUAUGCUAUGAAUACAUUAGCAUGGAAUAAUAAUUUAGGACUUCGGUUCUAUUUUGUUGGUUUCUAGGACUGAAGUAAUGAUUGAUAGGGAUAGUUGGGGGUGCUAGUAUUCAGCGGCCAGAGGUGAAAUUCUCGGAUUCGCUGAAGACUAACUUAUGCGAAAGCAUU